GACUGCAUGGGAUAAUGCAUCUUCCCGUGCGGUCGCGUUAAGUUGACCGCACGGGAUAAUGCAUCUUCCCGUACGGUU
rnacentral:pre_miRNA from 14 species